UGCCUUAUAUACACGAAGGAUCUAUAUAUGCAUUUACAUACAAAAGGAAUAUUCUUCCAAUCCAGCUGUAUUGCCAUGUGCUCUAUUCAUCUUGCAUAACCGAAUCUGUUAGGCUUCUGGUUUCUUGUUAGGUUGGUUCCAAUAUUCUGACUCCCCCCUUCAAGGUGGAGUGUGUCUCAACCACUCCAAGCUUGUCCUUGAGAAACGAGAAUCUUGAAUGACUGAGUGGUUUUGUCAUCAAGUCUGCCGUUUGGUCAGAUGUCGGUAUAUAAUUAAUUUCCAAUUCUCCUCUUAGAACCUUGUCUCUUACAAAGUGAACAUCAAGCUCUAUAUGCUUGGUGCGUGCAUGGUAGACUGGAUUCGAAGCCAACGCACUUGCGCUUAAAUUAUCACACCAUAUCUUUGGCACCGACCUCUGUGGUAUUUUAAGCUCCUUCAUUAGAGAUUGAAUCCAUGUAAUUUCUGAUGCACUUUGAGCCAAUGCCCUGUAUUCUGCCUCCGUGCUCGACCUUGCUACAACAUGUUUUUUCGAGCACCAAGACACUAAGUUAUCUCCAAGGUAUACACAAUAACCAGCAGUGGAUCUUCUAUCAUCUGGGCAUGAUACCCAGUCAGAGUUAGCAAAUGCAUUCACGUCAAGAUUGUCACUUUUCCGAAUGAUAAGGCCAUGUUUUAUUGUUCCUUUCAAGUACCUGAACACCCUUUUGAGUGCCUUCCAGUGAGCAUCUGUUGGUGUUUGAAGAAACUGGCUCAUUUUGUUUACAGAGUAGGUGAUAUCAGGUCUUGUAUAAGCUAAAUACUGGAGACCACCAAUGGCGCUUCUAUACACUGUCGGAUUUUCUAAGGCCUGUCCUUCAGUUUUUGAAAUUAACUUCCCAGUUGCCAUAGGUGUCAAGCUUGGGUUCAGGUUUUCAUACCCAAAUUUUCUCAGUAGAUCAGUUGCAUAUAUUCCUUGAUUUAAAUGCAGUCCUGUUGUGUCUCUAUACACUUCUAUACCCAAGAACUUAGUGAGGUUUCCCAUAUCCUUAAGAGCAAAGCUUGUGUUUAGAUUGUCAAUGAACUGUUGUAGUUGCUGGUGGUUGCUUCCUGUUAUAACUAUGUCAUCCACAUAGACAAGUGCAAACACUACAUCCUUACCAUUUACUGAGUAAAAUAGUGAAUUAUCAGCCCUGGACUGUUUGAAAUUCCAUUCCAAUAGGGUAUUUUUCAGCUUUUCAUGCCAUGCUCUUGGUGCCUGUCUUAAUACAUACAAUGCCUUUUCUAAUUUGCAUACAGAGCUUGGAUUCCUUUCAUCUACAAAUCCUUCCGGCUGAUGCAUAUAUACUACCUCAUUUAACUUCCCAUUCAAGAAGGCAUUGUUCACAUCUACUUGCCUAAUGCUCCAAUCUCUUGAUACAGCCAGUGUCAAGAUAAUUUUUAGUGUUGAAACCUUGAUGAUAGGGCUAAAAGUUUCACCAAAGUCUACUCCAGGUGUCUGAAGAAAGCCCUUGGCCACCAGCCUUGCUUUGUGUCUCAGCACCUUGCCUUCUGAGUUGUACUUCAGCUUGAAUACCCACUUGUUUCCAAUGACCUUCAUUCCACGUUCAUAAGGUACCAAUGUCCAGGUUCCAUUUUUCAUCAGUGCAUUGUAUUCCUCCAUCAUAGCAUUUUUCCAGCUAACAGUCUGCAUUGCUUCAUCAACAGUUAAAGGUUCUGUUUCUCCUGAUUUGUCAACCUUCUGACUUGUGUAAAUUUUUGGUUUGAAAAUUCCAGCCUUACUUCUAGUAACCAUGUGGUGUCCAGCAGCUUGUGUUGCAGUUUGCUCAUCAAUGUUGACUUCAUUCUCAAUAUGUUCGAUUUCAUAUUCAACUUGUUGAAUACCACUUGCCACCUGACCACCUAAUUGACCAAGAUUUGUCUCAGCAUUGUUGUUUUCUUCUCCUGCCUCACCUUCUACUUCAGUAACAAGCUUUCUAUCAGAGGGACCAGCUGUAGUUGAUGCAUCAGGAUAGAUUAUAUCAGCUGUAUCUUGAGAAAUUGCUUUGUGGCUGGACUCAAUGUUAAACGGAAGAAGACUUAUUACAGAUUCAGAGUUUUUUGGUUGGUCUUGUCUAUUUAGAAAACCUGACUUGAAGGGAAAAACACUUUCAUUAAAAAUUACAUGUCUGGAGGUAUAUAUUUUACCACUAGAGCUUAGACACUUAUAUCCUUUGUGUGAAUCAUCAUAGCCAAGGAAGGUGCAUCUUUGUGAAUGGAAAUCAAAUUUGUGUUUUUGGUAUGGUCUAAGACAAGGAUAACAGGCACAGCCAAAGGUUUUGAGUGUUUUGUAGUCAAAGUUCUUUCCAUACAAUACUUGAAAAGGAGAUUUGUGUUGUAAUACAGGUGUAGGUAAUCUGUUGAUAAGGAAUGUUGCUGUUUUGAAAGACUCCCACCAAUAAUGUAGUGGCAUUUGAGCUUGAGCUAACAGUGCUAGGCCAGUUUCAGUGAUAUGUCUAUGCUUUCUCUCUGCCCGUCCAUUUUGCACAGAAGUAUAGGGGCAAGAAUGUCUAAAUUCAAUCCCAGAUUCCAAGGUAAUUUGGUUAAAGGCUCUAAAUUCUCCUCCCUAGUCAGAUUGCAAUGUUUUGAUCUUUCUUUCAAGUUUAUUUUCAACCAGUUUUUUGAACUGAGUGAAGAUGAUUAGUGCCUCAGAUUUAUGUUUCAUGGGGUAGAUCCAAGUGAACCUGCUAUGAUCAUCCACAAAAAUUAUAUAGUAUCUAAAGCCUGAGGUAGAAAUUCUGGGUGUUGGUCCCCAGAUAUCUGUGUAGACCAAGUCCAAGAGGUUUGAGGCAUGUGAUGAAGAUAUAUUGAAGGGCAGUGCAUGAGAUUUGCCAAAUUGGCAUGGUUCACAGAAUGCUAGUUUUUCAUUAACUUUGAUGGAUUUAUUACAUGACUUUAAGACUUGACUCAACACAUGACUUGAUGGAUGACCUAGCCUUCUAUGCCAUAUAUUAACUUCUGACUCCAACAUGACUCCCUUUGUUGACUCAUCACAACCAGAACUUACUGUGAAACACCUAGUAUUAUUUCGAUGGUUUGACUCUUGAUUUGUAGGUUUAGACUUUGAGGUUGGGUGCUUCAGCCGAUAUAAUCCAUCCUUAAGCACUCCUUGCAACAGGGUCUUCCUGGUUUUCAAGUCCUUUACAAUACAGUGAUCAGGAAAGAAUUCAAUAAACACAUUGUUAUCAUAUGUAAGCUGGGACACACUGAUCAAAUUCUUUUUAAUUUCAGGCACAUGUAAUACUUUAUUAAGUGCAAGAGGAUUAUCUAGAGUAGGGAUACUUCCUUUUCCAAUAUGUUCAAUUUUCAAUGAAUUUCCAUCACCAACUAAGAGUUUCUCCUGACCAUUAUAUUUUUUACCUGUAUUCAAGUUACCUUUGUCUCCUGUCACAUGGUUGCUUGCACCUGAGUCAGCAAACCAGGCCGGAUCUUCAAGGAUUCUUGGUCCAGCAAUAUAUGCAGAAGGGUUUGAGGUGCUGCCUUGACGAUUUUGGUUGCUAGGUCUGCUGCCCAUGUAUCUAUCAUCGUAUCUAUUAAAGCACCAACUGGCUUGGUGGUUGUUGAGUCCACAAAUUUGGCAAGGUCCUCUUCCUUCAUUUGAUCUACCUGCUCUACCUCUUCCCCUUGUUCUACCUCUGAAAUUCACACCCCUUGCACUGUUUAUACCUCUAAAAUUUCUGCCACCGGCAGGUCCUGCUCUUUGAACGGGUUGAAUGCUUGACUGCUCAACAUUCAGUGAUGUAAAAUUGUUCUUCACUUGAUUCAAGUACUCAAGCCUACUUUCAAAGGUCAUCAAUAGAGAGGACAGCUCAUACCAUGAUAUAUAAUCCCUGCUGUUGAUUUGUACCACGAUAGGUAUAUACUCAUCAUCUAAGCCUGAUAACACUUGUGUUAUGAGAUCACCAUGAUCGACUGUCUUUCCAGCUAUUUGUAGGUUGUCAGCCAAUUGUUUGAUAGUGGUGAGAUAUUGAUCCAUGGUCAUGGACCCUUUCUUUGUUCUCUGCAGUUCUCCAGUAAGAAACACUACCCUUGAUUUGUUUAGUAUGCCAAAGCUUUCUUCAACUGCCGUCCAUAGUGUGUUUGAGCUAGUACACCCCAUGACUCUCAUUGCUAUUUCUGGAGUCAUGGAAGAAUAUAACCAGCCCAUUAGCAGCUGAUCUGUCGAAAUCCAUUUGUUGUACUCAGUAUUCUGGACCAUCUCUAUUGCUUCUCCUCCAGCAGUGGUUGUUUGUGUAGCUAGAAAUUCUGAUGGACAGUUUUUAGUUCCAAGCAGGUAACCUUCGAAGUUAUGCCCCUUGAUUAUGGGCAUAACCAUGUUUUUCCACAGCAGGAAGUUAUUCCUAUCGAGUUUUACUGAUGGAGUUUGAGUGAGGUUCAUUCCAAAUGGUGAGACCUGGUUUACACCAACUUGAGUGGAAGGUGUAGUGACUGAUUCGGUUGGUGUAACUUGAUUACUGGUAUUCGUGUUAGCCAUUUUGGCUCUGAUACCAAGUCAAAAAUGUGAAAGGAAUUUUAUAUAAAUUGUUUUUUUGUUUACAUUUUUGCCUGCCUUAUAUACACGAAGGAUCUAUAUAUGCAUUUACAUACAAAAGGAAUAUUCUUCCAAUCCAGCUGUAUUGCCAUGUGCUCUAUUCAUCUUGCAUAACCGAAUCUGUUAGGCUGCUGGUUUCUUGUUAGGUUGGUUCCAAUAUUCUGACUAGUGCCAAAGCCUGCAUGGCUUGCACCUGCGCAGAAAUCGGGUUGUUUGUCAUAUUCAUGAUAUUUAGCUGGGAUUGUGGCCCACCCUGCAUAGAUGCUGCCGGGACUACUUGACCAAG
rnacentral:lncRNA from 1 species